AUGCAGAUUGGCUGCUCUCCAACCCGGUCCGGUCGCACCAGCUCGCCCCCGCCGCACCAUUCCCCUCCCCUCCUCCUCUCCUCACUCGUUUCCUCCGUCGCCGCCGCCUGCGUCCCGACUGCCGGCCGCCGCACCGCCCCGCCGACGCCAUGGUUUUGGAGGACGAAAGCAGCGACGACCAGUCUAGCCUCCCGUACAUGCAUUCUUCCUCCACAGACGGUCUCAACGAGGUUUUGA
rnacentral:rRNA from 1 species